AGUGAACGCUGGCGGUAGGCCUAACACAUGCAAGUCGAACGGCAGCACAGUAAGAGCUUGCUCUUACGGGUGGCGAGUGGCGGACGGGUGAGGAAUACAUCGGAAUCUACUUUUUCGUGGAGGAUAACGUAGGGAAACUUACGCUAAUACCGCAUACGACCUACGGGUGAAAGCAGGGGAUCUUCGGACCUUGCGCGAUUGAAUGAGCCGAUGUCGGAUUAGCUAGUUGGCGGGGUAAAGGCCCACCAAGGCGACGAUCCGUAGCUGGUCUGAGAGGAUGAUCAGCCACGCUGGAACUGAGACACGGUCCAGACUCCUACGGGAGGCAGCAGUGGGGAAUAUUGGACAAUGGGCGCAAGCCUGAUCCAGCCAUACCGCGUGGGUGAAGAAGGCCUUCGGGUUGUAAAGCCCUUUUGUUGGGAAAGAAAAGCAGCAGGUUAAUACCCCGCUGUUCUGACGGUACCCAAAGAAUAAGCACCGGCUAACUUCGUG
rnacentral:rRNA from 1 species